rnacentral:rRNA from 1 species
UACGUAGGGUGCAAGCGUUGUCCGGAUUUAUUGGGCGUAAAGAGCGUGUAGGCGGCCAGGUAGGUCAGCUGUGAAAACUCGAGGCUCAACCUCGAGAUGUCGGCUGAAACCAUCUGGCUAGAGUCCGGAAGAGGAGAAUGGAAUUCCCGGUGUAGCGGUGAAAUGCGCAGAUAUCGGGAAGAACACCGGUGGCGAAGGCGGGUCUCUGGGCCGGAAACUGACGCUGAGGAGCGAAAGCGUGGGGAGCAAACAGG